rnacentral:rRNA from 1 species
CCGGCGCACGGGUGAGUAACACGUAUCCAACCUGCCGAUAACUCGGGGAUAGCCUUUCGAAAGAAAGAUUAAUAUCCGAUAGUAUAUUAAAACCGCAUGGUUUUACUAUUAAAGAAUUUCGGUUAUCGAUGGGGAUGCGUUCCAUUAGUUUGUUGGCGGGGUAACGGCCCACCAAGACUACGAUGGAUAGGGGUUCUGAGAGGAAGGUCCCCCACAUUGGAACUGAGACACGGUCCA